rnacentral:rRNA from 1 species
CCUACGGGAGUCAGCAGUGGGGAAUUUUUGGACAAUGGGCGCAAGCCUGAUCCAGCCAUGCCGCGUGUGGGAAGAAGGCCUUCGGGUUGUAAACCACUUUUGUCAGGGAAGAAACGGUCUGGUCUAAUAAACCGGACUAAUGACGGUACCUGAAGAAUAAGCACCGGCUAACUACGUGCCAGCAGCCGCGGUAAUACGUAGGGUGCAAGCGUUAAUCGGAAUUACUGGGCGUAAAGCGUGCGCAGGCGGCUUUGCAAGACAGAUGUGAAAUCCCCGGGCUCAACCUGGGAACUGCAUUUGUGACUGCAAGGCUAGAGUACGGCAGAGGGGGGAUGGAAUUCCGCGUGUAGCAGUGAAAUGCGUAGAUAUGCGGAGGAACACCGAUGGCGAAGGCAAUCCCCUGGGCCUGUACUGACGCUCAUGCACGAAAGCGUGGGGAGCAAACAGGAUUAGAUACCCUGGUAGUCCACGCCCUAAACGAUGUCAACUGGUUGUUGGGAGGGUUUCUUCUCAGUAACGAAGCUAACGCGUGAAGUUGACCGCCUGGGGAGUACGGCCGCAAGGUUGAAACGUCAAAGGAAUUGACGG